GACGAACGCUGGCGGCGUGCCUAAUACAUGCAAGUUGAGCGCUGAAGGUUGGUACUUGUACCAACUGGAUGAGCAGCGAACGGGUGAGUAACGCGUGGGGAAUCUGCCUUUGAGCGGGGGACAACAUUUGGAAACGAAUGCUAAUACCGCAUAAAAACUUUAAACACAAGUUUUAAGUUUGAAAGAUGCAAUUGCAUCACUCAAAGAUGAUCCCGCGUUGUAUUAGCUAGUUGGUGAGGUAAAGGCUCACCAAGGCGAUGAUACAUAGCCGACCUGAGAGGGUGAUCGGCCGCAUUGGGACGGAGACACGGCCCAAACGCCUACGGGAGGCAGCAGUAGGGAAUCUUCGGCAAUGGACGAAAGUCUGACCGAGCAACGCCGCGGGAGUGAAGAAGGUUGUCGGAUCGUAAAACUCUGUUGGUAGAGAAGAACGUUGGUGAGAGUGGAAAGCUCAUCAAGUGACGGUAACUACCCAGAAAGGGACGGCUAACUACGUG
rnacentral:rRNA from 1 species